ACCAUCUCUCUUUCCAUUCUGUCAGUUGCUGCUAUUGUUGAUCGAGAAGGCUUGACACCACCUUUGAUGAUGAAUCACCAUCUUAGUUUCAGUUGGGCAUCUGCUUCCCAUGUGUUGAUGUUAACAGUGCAGACCUUCACGGAAGCUUUGAGAAUGUGUUUGAAAUAUUUCCUUUGACUUCCAUGUAAAUCAACUCUCGUGCUCAGCUCUGAGUCGAGCACCUUUGAGGACAGUCUGACAUCAUGUCUUGGCCAUCUGAGCUGGUGUGAGAUGAUAUGACCUUGAUACUCGGGCAGGUCUGUAUCUGGUGAUCCUACUGGACAUCACAUGGAUCAGAAAUGGCACUGGAAGUUGCUUCAGUUAAUUAGGCUAUACAUUGCCUAGCCUCCCACAUGAAGAAUUAUCAUUUGAGCAAGGUGCUGAAGCCAUUCUGUGCUCUUGGCAGCAUAUACCAGAAGAGUCAGCACCUUCAAGAGGAGAAAGAAUGGAUCAAAGAAUAGGGGAAAAUCCAUUUGAUAGAUAAGUUUUAUCCUAUAAUUGUAUUCCUUACAUUAUCUGAUCAGUAUAGUUAAGUCAAUAUUUAAAAAAUACCCAGAAAUUAACUGUCAGCUGAACUAAGGCACAAAUCCAAUCGCCAGCGCUUCAGUUUGGUCCUCUGAUAUCAUCAUAAAAUGGUUACCGCACAGAAUGGGGCCAUGAUGUCCCAUGGUGUGCAAUAGCAACUCAUCCAAAGCCAUUCCCCACCUUGCCCCCUGCAAUAUUUUUCGCUUUAGAUAAUUACUCAAAAACAUUUUGGCAGGCACGAUUGAGCCUUCCUCCAAUAAAUCACAGGCAAUGCAUUUCCAAUCCUACCAACACACACUCUAAGAAAAGCUUUUUUUUGUUUCUGUUGCUUGCCAUUAAACUUUAAUCAUUGUUCUUUGGUACUUGAGCCAUCCACCAAGGAGAGCAGUUUCUCUUUGUCUACUCUAUUUUGGAAUCCUCAUGAUUUGAACAUAUGCAUCUCCUCUCAACCUUCCCUUCUCUAAGGAACAAACUGACUCCGCUUCUCCAAUCUACCCACGUAACUGAAGUGGCUCAAGAAUCGGGCCAGUCAUGACAGGAGUUAUAUAAACAUAGUUGAGGAUGGAAUGUAAGUGAUUGAGUUUGGACAGUUUGGAGUCAAUGUAGGGUUGCAAUUGAGAGGCCUGUGCAGGGCUUUCGAACAAAUAAAGUUUAGAAGGGACAAGAAACGCAGAUAAGUUUUUUUUUGCAAUGAUAAGGAUGAGGCAAAAUGGAUGUUUGAACUGAUAUAAAUAUACUUAAUGUUGCAUAUAAAGGAAAUAAAGUUCCACUGCAAAUCACACAGAAUGCUAACUUUGACGUAUGUGGCUAGUUCUUUAACAUCACUGGACCACCAUGAUAGAAUUCACAUGAAAUAUUACCACUACAAGAGCUACAGCAUUGCAAAACCACUAUGACCCUGAGUACAAGUGAAGAUGACUUUUAAAGCACCAACAGCCUAAGGAUGCAUUUUUGAAAAUGUCAUUUCUUACUCAACUGUGGUGCAGCUGAGAGCACACAUGCUUGUGAGGUUGAAGUGUGUUGUUUCAAGUUCCUGCUCCAGAAACUUGAGAAUAAAAAUUUAGGCUAAUACUCCAGUGUUUGUCCUGAGGAAGUGCUGAAUUGCUGAAGGUGGUGAGAUGUUUAGCCAAAAUCUUGAUUAAUGCCAUGACACUAUUUUAAGGGAUAACAAGGAAGCUAUUCCAUUGUUCUGGACAAUAUCUGUCUUUCAAUCAAUAUCACUUAGAACAGAUUAUCAAUUCAUUAUCACAUUGUUUUUGAGUGAGUUUGCUGUAUCUAAUUGCUGCCCUGUUUUGUUCAUUAAUCCAGUGAAUACAUUUCAACAAUAACUUGGCUGUAAAGGAGUUGAGAUAGUGAAAGGCCCUAUAUCAAUCCAAGCUUUUUUUUCUAGGUUUGAAUGCUAUUAAAUUGUGUGAUGUCCCCGGACAAUGGAAUACAGAAAUAAACCAUUGACACAAAUAAAAGUAUCAUAUCAAAUAAAAGUGGCAAAAUCUCCCAUAGAAAUGGUGAAGAGAAAUGUUAAAGCUGUUAAAUUAAUGACACGUUGCAUUAGGUCUAUUUGUAUGCCCAUUGAUUUGAAUGCUUAACUUUGCAUUUCUUGUGGUAUGAUACAUAAUUGCUCUGACAAGCUACAGCACAGAGUGCGCAGACAGAGUCUAUAGUCUGUUGAUUCGCAGUAUUGUCUGUGCUGAAUUUUAAAGAUAGUUGUCAUCAGAGGUGUUAUAUAGAAGAGAAGCAUUCCCAAAGCGAGUGGGAAAACAGAAAGUGAGUCAGUCCAGAGCGGUCCUAUAAUCUCCUAUUGAGUGGUAUUGUCAUCAGUUGUUUGUCUGUGAUCUCAGUUGGGAAACCCUUUCUCUCAAGGAAGGGUUCUAAUUAAUAGUGGUGUUGCAGCAGCUGGAGUAGGAAUUCUAGAGAGAAAAAUGUUGCAAAUACUAUUAAAAAAAUUAACUUGCUAAUUUGUGAUAAGCAAAUUCUUUCACCAUAGCACAAUUUCCUUAAAGGCUGAUAUUUGCUAAAUGUUGCAAAUUAACAAAGUAAGGAAAAUGUGAUUUAUGUGUUCCUUACAUUAAAUUUCAUGAUAAAUGUUGCAAAACACAGUGUCUGCUUCACAUGUGAUUCUUUGUCUAUUGUUCUGUAGCUUGAAUUAAUAAUUAUUCUUUUAAGCAGUAAUACAAGCACAGGGGGAAGGUUUGGAUCAGUAGAAUGGCCACCUGUGAAGGGCCUAUGUGAAAAAAGUUUUCCUUAAAUCAGCUUCUAAAUGACAAUAGUCAAGGUUACUGACUCACAACUAUUUAAAACUUUUCAAUUGGUGUUAUUUUCAUUCUUACGUUGCUUUCAGGCUUUACUACAGCUUCUCCUCUGAUUUAAAUGAGGAGUAUUUCAGUUCCAGGGUCUGCUCUUUUCUUUAAUCACAAGGAGGUCUCCUAAUUCCGGGCUCUAAAUUGUGUUCUGCAAAGCAUAAUGAAUCUGCCUUCAUAUAAGCCCAGACAAUGGCCUCUUUCAAGCCUCAAACCCUUCCUCCUGAGAUAUUGUUAUAACUAAUAACUCCUGCCAGCUGUGCUGAAGGGAACCUCAGCUCUGUGGGAGAAUGAACAAACUCCAGCCCUCAGAGGAUUUGAAGUAAUUCUGAGCUGAAAUUGGAUUAUGAAGGGGAAAAGGUCAUUCUACGCUCACAACUUAUCAUUUAUGUUACACCAAAUGAGUGAGCAUAUUUAUCCCAUUAUCCAUGAAUUAGUUGGAGAGGAAUUCAUAACAGAAAUUUGUACAAACAAUUUGAAAUAUCUCGCAGUUAAAUAAAGAGCAAAAGAUAUAAAUAGACCUCACAGUCGAAACAGCAAACACAGGUAAUGGCUGCAAAUAAUUUAGAUUUGAUCAGACAAAUAAUGCAUCCUGCAGUAUUAAGUCUCUAGGCUGACUGACUUCUUUUAUAAGCUUUUCACAGAAUGUUCUCGUUGGCUUGUGGAUAUCAAACUGUGCAAAACCCUAUUGCUUCCUCAGUCCAAGUGUUGAUCUCGAAAGAAAACUUUCCAUGGCAACAGGACAAAGCAGCACAUAACAAGAGGUGGCAGCAGCAACAAGUAGCAGGAUGCAGGAAUGGCUACAUGUCCCUUGCCAUGACGAUGACUCAGUGGUUGCUAUUGACUACAACUGAAGCUGUGACAAGCUGUAAGCUGAACCACGGAAGGUAUCCACAAAAGAAGGGUUUAAAAAGACAACUCCAGGCCUCAUUUAUGCUAAUCCAGUGUUAUAGUUGUAUAAGGUUGAUGUUUUCCGUGAAAAUCACAAUUGCAGACCAUCUAAUAAACACCUCAUCCUUGCAUGCAAAGUAAAA